AUUACAGAAGAGAUUGAAGCGCAAAAGAAAUUUUUGGAAGAAAAGGCUCAACGACAAGGCGAAGCGAGUGAGAAGUACGACGCUGACCGAUUGCAACUCAACCUACAGCGAAACCAAUCGGGAUUGUUAGAUGUCGAGGUAGAAGAUGAUAUUCAAAUGCCCUUGAUAACACCCGAAAGUAUCAUUCGUCCUCAGUCUAACUUGCUGCCAGAAUUGGAACCACACCUCGAAGAAACCGUACCAUUAAGGAAAAGAGCGAAGCACAUUAAAAAAUGUAAAGAUACAAUGUGGAAACGCUGGACGAAUGAGUAUUUACGGGGUCUUCGCGAACGACACAAUCUCAAACACAGCAGAUCAUCCGGAACAGUGGAAAAAGGUGAAGUUGUGAUCAUAAAGGGUGACGAGAAAGACAGAAAUCAAUGGAAAUUAGGGAUUGUGGAGAAAGUGUUGCCUGGUAAAGAUGGUAUUGUACAAGCGGUGAGACUUCGAGCGGGAAGAAAUCAACUUGAAAGGCCGAUACAGCACCUUUAUCCGUUGGAGCUGAGCUGCGACAUAGAAAGAAAUACGAAGACGAAAUUAAAUCCGGAGAUACCAGCCUUUCGACCGAGACGUAACGCAGCGGAGGUAGCGAAAGUUCGUAUAAGUGACAUUGCAGAAGAUGAAAACAGUAACUGAACUGAUGUUCAAAACUUGAACUUAUAGAUUGAUAUUGAUAAUAUUAUUAUAGGGUAAUGCAUGUAACAAGUGUAUUGAACACCUCCGGUGUUAAAUAGGGGAGUGUGUUGGAAACCGACUAUAAAUAGGUUAUGAACAAACACUAGAUAUGAACACCAUAUAAGGACAUAAUUAGUGUAUGAUUGACAUUUAGCAAAACCAACAUAGUGAUACAUUGCGAGCGAGUGAGAAAUAGGCGUGUAAACAUAAUACAACAUACGAAAUAAAAUCGAAUAAUUUGGCGAUUAAAAACAAAGUGAAUUGUCGCGAAGGACGGCCCUUUUAGUAGAGCAUUCCGACAAUGUGAAUAUUAUAAUAGCUGCAGAACUAAAAAUGCUAUAGAAUAUAAAAUUAAUUAAUGCUAAGCGUAAUACUAGAGCUAAAGGAGUGUUUUUGCUGGAGCUUUUAGAAGCGGAGAG